GCCUGGGUGGCUCAGUUGGUUGAGCAUCUGACUUUUGCUUUUGGCUCAGGUCAUGAUCUCAUGAUUCGUGGGUUCAAGCCCCACAUCAGGCU
rnacentral:tRNA from 1 species